rnacentral:snRNA from 1 species
AGCUUUGCGCAGUGGCACUAUCAUAGCCAAUGAGGUUUAUUUGAGGCACGAUAAUUGCUAAUUGAAAAAUAGAAGAGCUCAAAAAAAAAGAAGACAUUUAAAUCACCUGUAAUUCUACUACCUAGAAAUUGUUGUUUAGGUAUUUGGCUUUUCAGGCUCUUUUUAAAAUG